AAAAAUAUUUAAUAUUUCAACUGAACAGUAGGAUCAGAGGUACAGGAUCCAGCUGUCCAUUCAAUAUUUCGAACUUGGGAUCUUGUGACACAUGAGAAUAAGAAAGAUCAAACCUUCCAUUUCAGAGGGGCUUGGGAUUUAAAAUUUCUAGGGGAUGCUGUCCUCAUUCUGUCAUCGAAUGCUCUUAUAUAGACAUCCCAUUUCCAUGUUAAACUUCAGAGCAGGUUUGGUAAGGUGAGACGACACCACGCUUAUUCUCCUCAUUUCAGUGUGAUCAAGGCGUUUUGCUUUCUGGAGAUCUUGCAUCAUUCAGCAGUCCUCUGGUGUAUUUCACUUAUAUCAGACCUCUUGUCUCAGGAUAAUAGAUUAGGCUAUCAUACCGGCCUAUUUGCAUUUACUGUAUGAUUUUUUGGAUGGACUUUGGGGAUAGAGCAUUUUCUAUUAGUGUGAAAAAAUAUAACAGAUAUCAAGGAGUAUAGUGUAAAAUGGAGAAACGUUGUGGCCUGAUGCGAAUGUCCACUUGUGCCCUUUGAGUCUCAAAUCCCAAUGAGUCUAACCAAUCUACGUUCUUUAAACAUCUUGGGUCUCUUGUUGAAACCUUGUGAUGCAUCUUCCUAGCAUUUAUAUCUGUCAUACACAUAGAGAAGGGUUUUCAAUAGUGUCUCAGCUUACAACCAUCUUCCUUUAGAAUGCAAAGGCUUAGAGGAUGCAUUGCCAUUUGUAAGCAGGGUUACCCUAUUUCCUGACUCGAAACAGGACACUUCCCACUCCCCCCUCAUUGCUCUGGCACACUUGGUGCCUCAGAGCCUCGCUGGGACUGUUCCAUUUGAAAAUGGGGUGUAUGGUCACCCUGUCCAUAAGGGAAUUGACAGCAAUAUGGCACCUAAUGUAGAUUUAGCAGGUCAUAUGGGCCCUCCCUUUGAAACAAGAGCUUUCUAUUCUUUCCUGUGUUUGUAUAUGGAGACCUCCUUUCUCCUUCCUCCCUGCUUCUAUGAGAAACUUUCAUACAUUUAUCACCUGUGAAGCUGCUAUUUAGAGGCUCUAUACACGCUGAAAGACAUUUAAGGUGAAGGCCUAUUGGUAGAUGAGUGCUCAAUUUAUUUUUAGAUCCAAAUCUGAGCACUCGCCACUUUAAGUAAAUCAUUGCUUGGGAAUUUUGUAGUGUAUAAUAUACGUGGACAAUAUACGUGGACAAGUGCUCAAAGAAGAAAAAAGGUAGUUUAUCUGUACAGAAAGGUCCAUUGAAAUAAGUUUUCCAUAUGUGUCUUUUAUGACCUUCCCCUCCCUUUUGGGAGUUUACUGUACCAUCAGGCCUGCUGUGAAGAAGGAAUUGGAGUGCUGGUUGGUCCUUCAUUGCCUUUUAUACUCUGUUUUUGAGGCAUAAGUGUUCUCAUGGUGAUGCACAGACUGAGAUAACCCUGUUUAACUGAAACUCAGGUCUUGAGCAGAUGGGGUGCAUGCGUAACUAAAAUGGAAUACACGAAUGGGCAGUCUGUCUUGAAUCACUGGCAUAUUGUACCAGCAAACAAUUUCUUUUUGUGUAUUCUGCAUGUUAGAUGAGACAGUACUACCACUAAUUAGACUUUCACUGUGUUUUCUUAAAAGCUCUUUGAACUUUAUUAAAUUCAUUUUUUGAAUCUGAAUCGCUGUAACAGAUCUGUUCUUCUGUGCUCCAUGUAUGUUCAUAUCUACAGGGUUGCAAAUUCUUAUAGUCCUAAGUCUUUCCUCUCCACAAAGAUAUAAACAUGUUUAACUCUA